rnacentral:rRNA from 1 species
AACGAACGCUGGCGGCAGGCCUAACACAUGCAAGUCGAGCGAAGACUUCGGUCCUAGCGUCCUCCGGGUGAGUAACGCGUGGGAACGUUCCCUUUGCUUCGGACUAGCCCUGGGACACUGGUAGUAAUACCGGAUCGGCCCUUUUGGGGAAAGAUUUAUCGGCCAAGGAUGUGCCCUCGUUGGAUUAGGUAUUUGUUGCGGUAAUGGCCUACCAAGCCGACGAUCCAUAGCUGGUUUGAGAGGAUGAGCAGCCACACUGGGACUGAGAAACGGCCCAGAAUCCUACGGGAGGGAGCAGUGGGGAAUCGUAGAAAAUGGGGGAAACACUGAUGUAGCCAGGCCGCGUGAGCGAUGAAGGCAUUAGGGUAGUAAAGCUCUAUCAGCUGGGAAGAUAAUGACGGUACCAGCAGAAGAAGCCCCGGCUAACUCCGUG